rfam:Dictyocaulus viviparus strain HannoverDv2000 D_viviparus-1.0_Cont897.4, whole genome shotgun sequence.
GCCUCGGUAGUGUAACGGAUCAGCAUAGCAGACCGGAUAUCUGUAAGUGCGGGUACGAGUCCCGCAUGAGGUU